AUUGAACGCUGGCGGCACGCUUUACACAUGCAAGUCGAACGGUAACAGGCCGCAAGGUGCUGACGAGUGGCGAACGGGUGAGUAAUGCAUCGGAACGUGCCCAGUCGUGGGGUAUAACUACUCGAAAGAGUAGCUAAUACCGCAUACGAUCUAUGGAUGAAAUCGGGGGACCGUAAGGCCUCGCGCGAUUGGAGCGGCCGAUGUCAGAUUAGUUAGAUGGUGGGGUAAAGGGUCACCAAGCCAACGAUCUGUAGCUGGUCUGAGAGGACGACCAGCCACACUGGGACUGAGACACGGCCCAGACUCCUACGGGAGGCAGCAGUGGGGAAUUUUGGACAAUGGGCGCAAGCCUGAUCCAGCAAUGCCGCGUGCAGGAAGAAGGCCUUCGGGUUGUAAACUGCUUUUGUACGGAACGAAACGGCUCUGGUUAAUACCCGGGGCUAAUGACGGUACCGUAAGAAUAAGCACCGGCUAACUACGUG
rnacentral:rRNA from 1 species